GAUGAACGCUAGCGGGAGGCUUAACACAUGCAAGUCGAGGGGCACCCCGGGAAACCGGGGGAGACCGGCAGACGGGUGCGUAACGCGUAUGCAACCUGCCUUAUGCAGGGGGAUAGCCCAUGGAAACGUGGAUUAAUACCCCAUAUUCUAUAAUAGCUGCCUGGUUAUUAUAGGAAAACUGAGGUGGCAUAAGAUGGGCAUGCGUCUGAUUAGCUAGAUGGCAGGGUAACGGCCUACCAUGGCGACGAUCAGUAGGGGUCCUGAGAGGGUUACCCCCCACACUGGCACUGAGACACGGGCCAGACUCCUACGGGAGGCAGCAGUGAGGAAUAUUGGGCAAUGGGCGGAAGCCUGACCCAGCCAUCCCGCGUGCAGGAUGAAGGCCCUAUGGGUUGUAAACUGCUUUUCCAGGGGGAGAAACCCCCGCACGCGUGCGGGGUUGACGGUACCCUGGGAAUAAGCAUCGGCUAACUCCGUGCCAGCCGCCGCUGUAAUAC
rnacentral:rRNA from 1 species